rnacentral:lncRNA from 1 species
CUGAAGGAAGGAAGUAGAAACGUAGGAAAACUGAAAGAAAGUUCACUGAAUUUGCAAAUUAAGAUGAUUCUACUGGAGAUUACCCUUAAAUGGAUCUACACUUCAGAGAUUCAGUCACAAAUUUGAGUAUUUAUGGAAUAUAGUGGCCUGCAAGUAACAUUCCAUUCCCGAUGCAUGUCUACAGUGUCAUGAGAACUGAGAACAGACUUCCACUGUGGAAUGAAUGAUACCAGUGAGGAUUCGGCAAUCCUCAAUCAGUGUGAGCUUAAACUAGUCAAGGAAAAGUUCUCUUUACCUUAAAUGGAAAGAAGAUGCUCAAAGAUCAGAAACUUGCAUCAGUGUGCCAAUGAAGUGACACUAUAAUAUGGCCCUCCUAAAAUUAUCAAUUAUUCAGGCUUGAAUUUUGCCACUGGAGUGGGAAAUAUC